rnacentral:rRNA from 1 species
CUACGGGGGGCUGCAGUGAGGAAUAUUGGACAAUGGGGGAAACCCUGAUCCAGCAAUGCCGCGUGAAUGAAGAAGGCCUUAGGGUUGUAAAGUUCUUUCACUCGUGAAGAUUAUGACGGUAACGAGAGAAGAAGCCCCGGCUAACUCUGUGCCAGCAGCCGCGGUAAGACAGAGGGGGCUAGCGUUGUUCGGAAUAACUGGGCGUAAAGGGUGCGUAGGCGGUUGUUUAAGUAAAGUGUAAAAGCCCUGGGCUUAACCCAGGAAUCGCAUUUUAAACUGGACAGCUAGAGUGUGGUAGAGGAAAGUGGAAUUCCUAGUGUAGAGGUGAAAUUCGUAGAUAUUAGGAGGAACACCAGAGGCGAAGGCGGCUUUCUGGACCACUACUGACGCUGAGGCACGAAAGCGUGGGGAGCAAACAGGAUUAGAUACCCCGGUAGUC